rnacentral:rRNA from 1 species
UACGGAAGGUCCGGGCGUUAUCCGGAUUUAUUGGGUUUAAAGGGAGCGUAGGCCGGAGAUUAAGCGUGUUGUGAAAUGUAGACGCUCAACGUCUGCACUGCAGCGCGAACUGGUUUCCUUGAGUACGCACAAAGUGGGCGGAAUUCGUGGUGUAGCGGUGAAAUGCUUAGAUAUCACGAAGAACUCCGAUUGCGAAGGCAGCUCACUGGAGCGCAACUGACGCUGAAGCUCGAAAGUGCGGGUAUCGAACAGGAUUAGAAACCCUACGGCUGACUGACU